GACACAGCGCCGGAUGAACGGAUAACUCUGAUGACGUUAACUAAGGAAUUUAUUCCCUAUGUCU
rnacentral:tRNA from 1 species